CCCGCGAUCCUGUCUCCUUGGAGGCGGCGUGCUUCAAGGCGGUGUAAAUUUAGCUCCCGCCGUCUCUCACGUGUCGCGCCCUCCAGCCCUUGCGGGAGCCCUUCUGCGCGGCUCCUGUCCGGCGGGCGCCUCCGCCGCCACGCGGGCACCCCUGUCCCACAGCGUCACCGCCUGUCCUCGCCCCCCUGGGUGCAGGCUGGCACCGCAGCCCCCACGUCCCGGGGGCACAAACGGGUGGCGAGCUCACACCCGGCCCCUUGGCAAUGGGGGCUGGUGCCUGCCCCUUGCUGCUGCUCCCGGCGUGCCCCUCGCAGCCGGCCCUCGUGCCGCGCCGUGCCAGCCACGUCCUCCUCCUGUCGCCCGGCCCCAGACACCAGGGCAGCGCCGUCGCCUCCGGCAGCUGCACGGGGCCGCCGAGCCGCUCAGCUGCUGCAGCACGGGGGCUGCUUUGAAAUUCCUGGGCUGCCAUCUGUGCUAUGCAAAUCCCCCAAUCUGACGGCUGCGUGUGGACCCGCUUCCGGACUCGGCGGCAGGAGCUGUUAUUAUCUCGCUCCUCCUCCCUUCCAGCACCCAGCGGCGGAUUCAGAGCAGCGGGGACAUCGCCAGUUCUCAUGCAAAGAAGCCAAAAAUCCUUUGCAAAAAGCUCUUUGCUCUGCCCCAGCUGGGCCAUGGAGUCAGAACACAACGGGUGGGGCGUGGGGCCACCAGUCACCUCGAGUCACCGGCGGGUCUGUCGGGAGGACGGGGCUGGUGGCAUCCCGUGGGUGUCCGUGCCCCACUGGGAGGGAGCUGGGGGCAAGGCUGGUGCCGGCAGCAGCGGGUUCGUCCAUCACCUCCCCAGCCAGGCAUGGGGGAGCCGCGGGGCUGUGCCUGUGCAGCACCCACGCAUCCACUCCCCACCCCAGGGAGCCUGGGAGUCCCCAGCCUGGGGGUAGCAUGACACACAGCACAGACUGUGUCCAAAAAGCAGAACCGAGGCUGCACCCUGCUUUCCCAGUGUCUCCAUAUGGAGUUGAUGUGCAAACACCCCUGAGCAGCUCCUGCCUCAGUUCUCCACCAGUCCAGCACCGCGGGGCAGCACUGGAGGGCACGGAGAUGGCAGCUCGGUGUCCCCACAGGUCACCUUGCCCCUGGCCAGCUGUGGGUAGGGGUGGAUGGAGUGGUGCGUGCUCUUUAAAUGCUAAUCUGGUGGAAAAGCAGCAAUUCCCCACCCUGCGCUGA
rnacentral:lncRNA from 1 species